rnacentral:sRNA from 23 species
GAAAUAUCUCGGUAGGCGAGGCUCCUACAGGGAUAUAGGCUGCUGCCGCGAAAGAUUGGAGACAAUCUGAGCUGGUAAACAGGUUUUGCCGAAUCCAAGGCAUAACCUAAUGCAGCUUUUUAUGCCGUGUAGUGCCAAAGCUUGUACGAGGUAGCUAAAAA